UGGGGAAUAUUGGACAAUGGGCGAAAGCCUGUUCCAGCCAUGCCGCGUGUGCGAAGAAGGUCUUCGGAUUGUAAAGCACUUUAAGUUGGGAGGAAGGGCAGUAAGCGAAUACCUUGCUGUUUUGACGUUACCGACAGAAUAAGCACCGGCUAACUCUGUGCCAGCAGCCGCGGUAAUACAGAGGGUGCAAGCGUUAAUCGGAAUUACUGGGCGUAAAGCGCGCGUAGGUGGUUCGUUAAGUUGAAUGUGAAAGCCCCGGGCUCAACCUGGGAACUGCAUCCAAAACUGGCGAGCUAGAGUAGGGCAGAGGGUGGUGGAAUUUCCUGUGUAGCGGUGAAAUGCGUAGAUAUAGGAAGGAACACCAGUGGCGAAGGCGACCACCUGGGCUCAUACUGACACUGAGGUGCGAAAGCGUGGGGAGCAAACAGG
rnacentral:rRNA from 1 species